rnacentral:rRNA from 1 species
UACGUAGGUGACAAGCGUUGUCCGGAUUUACUGGGCGUAAAGAGCGCGCAGGCGGUCGUUCAAGUCGAGUGUGAAAGCCCCCGGCUCAACUGGGGAGGGUCACUCGAUACUGAUCGACUCGAAGGCAGGAGAGGGAAGUGGAAUUCCCGGUGUAGUGGUGAAAUGCGUAGAUAUCGGGAGGAACACCAGUGGCGAAGGCGACUUCCUGGCCUGUUCUUGACGCUGAGGCGCGAAAAGCUAGGGGAGCAAACGGG